UAUACCGUAGCUUGCUACACCAUAGACUGUGAGUUGCGAACGGGUGAGUAACGCGUAGGUAACCUGCCUAUUAGAGGGGGAUAACUAUUGGAAACGAUAGCUAAUACCGCAUAACAGUAUGUAACACAUGUUAGAUGCUUGAAAGAUGCAAUUGCAUCGCUAGUAGAUGGACCUGCGUUGUAUUAGCUAGUAGGUAGGGUAAAGGCCUACCUAGGCAACGAUACAUAGCCGACCUGAGAGGGUGAUCGGCCACACUGGGACUGAGACACGGCCCAGACUCCUACGGGAGGCAGCAGUAGGGAAUCUUCGGCAAUGGGGGGAACCCUGACCGAGCAACGCCGCGUGAGUGAAGAAGGUUUUCGGAUCGUAAAGCUCUGUUGUUAAGGAAGAACGAGUGUGAGAAUGGAAAGUUCAUGCAGUGAC
rnacentral:rRNA from 1 species